GAUGAACGCUGGCGGCGUGCCUAACACAUGCAAGUCGUACGAAAAAGAAAUUUUUAGUGGCAAACGGGUGAGUAACGCGUGAGAAUUUACUCUUAUGGUAGAGGAUAACUUUUAGAAAUAUUAGCUAAAAUUCUAUAUUCUUUUAAUAAGUGAAAAAAGAAAUUUGCCUAAGAAAAAGCUCGCGUCUGAUUAGCUAGUUGGUAGGGUAAAGGCCUACCAAGGCGAUGAUCAGUAGCUGGUCUGAGAGGAUGAUCAGCCACACUGGAACUGAGACACGGUCCAGACUCGUGCGGGAGGCAGCAGUGAGGAAUUUUCUGCAAUGGGCGAAAGCCUGACAGAGCAACGCCGCGUGAGGGAAGAAGGCCUUCGGGUUGUAAACCUCUUUUCCCAAGGAGGAAGAUCACGUUACUUGAGGAAUAAGCAUCGGCUAACCCUGUGCCAGCCGCCGCAGUAAAAC
rnacentral:rRNA from 1 species